CCUCCUCCCCUCCCUCCAUGUUCUCCGGAUAAGCUCCGGGUUUCUACUGAGGGCGGGCGGGCGGCCAGCUGGGGAUGGGGUGGCUCGCGGAAUGCAGGGAAAGGGGUCUCUGGAGGGAAGAAUUCCGCCGAAGUUGCCAGGAGGUGUUUCUGUCUCGAAGCGGCAGGCUCUGUGCGGAGGGGGUCUGCAUAGACGCGGCUGGGCUGUGGGGUGGGGCAGAGAGACCGUAGAUCGCGGACAGAAGACCGAAGAGAGACGGGGCUGAGGAGCUGCGGCAGAAGGGAAGGAACGAGAGAAGGCAAGAGGCCGAGCCGCACCGUCCCCUGUUCCCUCCGCGCCAGGAGCCUCCGAGACUCGGCCCAGCCCGCAGCCGCGACCCCGCGGGCCUCCGCCGCCCCUCGGCCCAGGCCUCCGGCCGCGCUCCCCGAUCCAUCAGCCGGUUCUGCUGUCGGAGACUCAACCCUGGAGAACAUCAAGCGGGCGGUCUUCGGCAGGCUAUUGGAAGAAUUGUCGGUUUCACUGCUUGAGUCCUUCAAGAGUGAUGAGCCCUCCAUUUUGGACUUCCCUGAUGGUGCAGUGGUGAAGAAUCUGCCUGCCAAUGGAGGGGACACGGGUUCGAGCCCGGGUCCGGGAAGAUCCCACAUGCUGCGGAGCAACUAAGCCCGUGCGCCACAACUACUGAGCCUGCGCUCUAGAGCCCGCAAGCCAUGACUACUGAAGCCUGUGCGCCUAGAGUCUGUGCUCCACAACAAGAGAAGCCACAGCAAUGAGAAGCCCGUGCACUGCAACAGAGUGGCCCCACUCGCCGCAACUAGAGAAAGCCCGCAUGCAGCAACGAAGACCCAACGCAGCCGAAAAUAAAUAAAUUUAUAUUAAAAACAUCAUUUAAAAAUUUUAAUUUAAUUUAAAUCAAUUUAAAUUAAAAUAGUCACAUGUGGCUAGUGGCUUCCG